rnacentral:rRNA from 1 species
AUGACUUCCAUCAGACGUGGACUGUACGUGGAGAGGCUGACAGCUGGGUCCAUGGCCGCAGCAAGGAAGUGCCUCCUUAUUAUGCGGAAAAUAAUGAUUCCUCCACCUGACAGCUGGGACCCACCAGACGGGCCAUUGUAUUUUGCGAAAAAAACAUUUUCCCUGACUGCUGGGACCCACCUGCUACAUCAUCGCACGCAAGGAAGUGCGUCCAAAAAAAACAAAACUAUUCGCCCCCCUGACCGCUGGGACCCACCAGUGACACCUUCGCAUGCAAGGAGGUGCGUCCGAAAAAAAAGUGAUUCGCCCCCCUGA